rnacentral:rRNA from 1 species
GACGAACGCUGGCGGCGUGCUUAACACAUGCAAGUCGAACGGAAAGGCCUCUUUCGGGGGGUACUCGAGUGGCGAACGGGUGAGUAACACGUGAGUAACCUGCCCUUGACUUUGGGAUAACUUCAGGAAACUGGGGCUAAUACCAGAUAGGAGCUCCUGCUGCAUGGUGGGGGUUGGAAAGUUUCGGCGGUUGGGGAUGGACUCGCGGCUUAUCAGCUUGUUGGUGGGGUAGUGGCUUACCAAGGCCUUGACGGGUAGCCGGCCUGGGAGGGUGACCGGCCACAUUGGGACUGAGAUACGGCCCAGGCUCCGACGGGAGGCAGAAGGGGGGAAGAUUGCACAAUGGGCGGAAGCCGGAUGCAGCAACGCCGUGUGCGGGAUGACGGCCUUCGGGUUGUAAACCGCUUUCGCUCAUGACGAAGCUUUGUGUGACGGUAGUGGGUAAAGAAGCACCGGCUAACUACGUG